GAAAAACUGGUACAAUUAAUUGUUCAUAUAACUAAUGGAGUUAGCUACUCCUGUAAAUGGAGAAGUUAGAACAAAUGCUAUGUAUUCCAUACCAAAGAGAACUGUUGCAGAGCCUGCUGGAGACCUCCAGUGGUACUUGGGCUUCAGAAGUGUUCAGAGUUCAAAAGACAACUGCAUAUGAACAUAACCAUAUUGGCCUGGAGAAGAGUUGUACUGCCAAUGUAUGGUUGGAGAUUAUCUGAGUGGAAAUUUACAGCCAUUGUGAAGGAACUUCUGCAUGUUGCACAGGCAGACUGGAAGGAUCCCAGCGGUUUGGACAACAGAAUCAGCAAGAGGAACAC
rnacentral:lncRNA from 1 species